CUGCAACACCGCAACGAAAUCAAUGCUUGUUGUUAUGUUAUGACAUUUUAUUGUUGUGAUUGGGAAGAUUUUUAAAUCAAUGGUUCAGUUUGCUGUCCGUCGUCUGCGAAUGCGAAUGUCACCAUCGGAAUUCACAUCGAUUCAUAGUCAAGAGCCAGCCAGAGAACGAGUGCAAACUUCAGGCAGACGACAGAUAUUUUGGAUGUCCACAGCAACAACAGCUAGAAUCAUAGAGAUGGCUGCCGUAAUGAAGCAAGCGAUCUUCCUGGAGGAUAAAACCUCCUUCGAUGUGGAACGAAAACUUAACAGAUUUCAGAGAAAAUCUCUGCUAGGAAAGUUCUCCAAUGGUGGUUGCCAAGCAAUCUGUGACACUGGGACCUCUGUUUUGACCCAGCCAACAUCAGAUGUGGAAUAGAUUCUAAGCUUGAUUGGAGCUGCACCUCCUGUCAAUAUCAUCAAAGUGAAGGAAACAGAGAUUGGAGAGACACUUUGCAAGAGUGGAUUCAUCAGAAUAGACAUCUUUAAACCCAUGGGCGCUCUUUGGAUCCUUGGUGACAUCUUCAUUGGUAAUAACUACCCGGAGUUAACCAAGAUGGGAGAGACACUUUGCAAGAGUGGAUUUAUCAGAAUAGACAUCUAUAAACUGACGGUGCUCUUUGGAUCCUCGGUGACAUCUUCAUUGGUAAUAACUACUCGGAGUUAACCAAGAUGGGAGAGACAAUUUGCAAGAGUGGAUUCAUCAGAAUAGACACAUCUAUAAACCUCUUUGGAUCCUCGGUGACAUCUUCAUUGGUAAAUACUACUCCGAGAUUGAUUGAGUGAACAACCCUGAAGGUUUCACUGAUACUGUCAAGAAAAUCAAGGCUGGAUAUUUGAACCUGAUUUGUUAAUCAGAAGGAAUAUCAUUGUUGGGGUAAGGAAAAGUAUAAAUGGGCCGAACAAAAAUAUAAUCAUGUUUCUUAUUACACUGAAUAUGGGUAGCAGGUUUGUGGCCCAUUCAAACAGUGCUGAUUGGCAUUAUUAUGCAACACAAAAAUGAGCAGAAAUUAAAUACAAUCAGAUUGACCAUCAGUCAAACCUGACAUGUGUGAAAAAUAAUUAUCAAUAUUUCAAAAAAGAAAAAAGAAAAAAAAAAACAUUUUGGUUUAAAGAAGAUGCCCACCUGUUAUGAAGUACAGGACUUUAUUGAGUUUUUUUCAGCCAAGCAUUUCAAGAAAAAGAAACCAUUUUGACAAACAACUACCUACCCAUUAUUUUUUCAGGAAAACGUGACUAUCUUUUUAUUUGGUCAAACUUUGAAAUAAAAUCAUAAAAAGCUGUGCCCACCUGUGUACCACCUAUUUUUUCAGUUACCUACCUACCAAUUUGUAAGUGUAAUGGGAAACUUAACUUUAUUUUUGUUUGGCCCAACUAUUACAAAAUAAUAGUUGCCCACCUUAUACCAACAAUCCAGUGUAAUAGGAAACAUUAUAUUUUUGUUGGCCCAACUGAAAACAGUUAUAAAAUAACGUGAAAUAGGGGCCAACAUUCUAUAGCGAUAACGUUUUAUAUCUUAACAAUUUUUGUUAAGCCCAACUAAAAGAAAAAAGAUGUAGCCCACCUGUUACCCAAAUUCAGUGCAAAAGGAAACAUUUAUUUAAUUUUGUGUGGCCCAACUUUGAACAUACUGUAUUUUGUGGUGUUUUUAAAGGCAGUGGACACUAUUGGUAAUGACUCAAAAUAAUUAUUAUCAUCAAACCGUACUUGGUAAUG